UACGAAGGGGGCUAGCGUUGUUCGGAAUUACUGGGCGUAAAGCGCGCGUAGGCGGUGAUCUUUGUCAGAGGUGAAAGCCCGGGGCUCAACUCCGGAAUUGCCUUUGAAACGGGAUCGCUUGAGUCCGAGAGAGGAUGGCGGAAUUCCUAGUGUAGAGGUGAAAUUCGUAGAUACUAGGAAGAACACCGUGGCGAAGGCGGCCAUCUGGCUCGGUACUGACGCUCAGGCGCGAAAGCGUGGGGGAGCAAACAGG
rnacentral:rRNA from 1 species